rnacentral:rRNA from 1 species
GAUCCUGGCUCAGGAUGAACGCUAGCUACAGGCUUAACACAUGCAAGUCGAGGGGCAGCAUGGUCUUAGCUUGCUAAGGCUGAUGGCGACCGGCGCACGGGUGAGUAACACGUAUCCAACCUGCCGUCUACUCUUGGCCAGCCUUCUGAAAGGAAGAUUAAUCCAGGAUGGGAUCAUGAGUUCACAUGUCCGCAUGAUUAAAGGUAUUUACGUUCGUACGA